rnacentral:rRNA from 1 species
UGGGGAAUUUUGGACAAUGGGCGAAAGCCUGAUCCAGCAAUGCCGCGUGAGUGAAGAAGGCCUUCGGGUUGUAAAGCUCUUUUGUCAGGGAAGAAACGGUGAGAGCUAAUAUCUCUUGCUAAUGACGGUACCUGAAGAAUAAGCACCGGCUAACUACGUGCCAGCAGCCGCGGUAAUACGAAGGGUGCAAGCGUUACUCGGAAUUACUGGGCGUAAAGCGUGCGUAGGUGGUGGUUUAAGUCUGCUGUGAAAGCCCUGGGCUCAACCUGGGAAUUGCAGUGGAUACUGGAUCACUAGAGUACGGCAGAGGGAGGUGGAAUUCCGCGUGUAGCAGUGAAAUGCGUAGGUAUGCGGAGGAACACCGAUGGCGAAGGCAGCCUCCUGGGCCAGUACUGACGCUCAUGCACGAAAGCGUGGGGAGCAAACA